GCUCCGUAGGUGAACCUGCGGAGGGAUCAUUACAGAGUUCAUGCCCUACCGGGUAGAUCUCCCACCCUAUGUUAUUAUUACUUUGUUGCUUUGGCGGGCCGUUAGGCUCCGGCCCGACUACCGGCCCCGGCUGGUAAGCGCCCGCCAGAGGACCCAAAACCCUGAAUAUUAGUGUCGUCUGAGUACUAUCUAAUAGUUAAAACUUUCAACAACGGAUCUCUUGGUUCUG
rnacentral:misc_RNA from 1 species